AUGGCAGGCUCUUACGCAAUGUCCAAUUGGUCGGACCUCCCGACGGAUCUCCUCCUCAUAAUCCUCCAACGCCUCCAGCUCCGGGAAUCCCUCGCUUUCGCGUCAGUCUGCGCAUCAUGGCGCGGAGCUGCUGCUGCCGCCGGCGUCCCAUCUUCUUGCAGAACGUGGCUCAUGUCUUGGACACAUCUCGUGGAGGAGGAGAGUCAACCCAAGAUCAACUGCAGCUCGACCAUGACCUGCAAGCUUCGCCAUCUCCUAGACGUCAACAAGUCUUAUGAUGUCGAUUUUCCCAAGGAUUGUUUCGUUGCAUGUGCUGGAGCUUCUCAUGGAUGGUUGGUCCUGGUGAACCACCUCUCCAAUCUACUUCUCUUCAACCCCAUCACCUCGGACAUGGUCCCGUUACCGCCGAUCAACGAUUUCUCGUUUGUGGAGGCUGUAUAUGAUGAACAAGGAAACAUAGAAGGUUAUCGCCUUUUAAACUAUAGAUUCUAUGAUGCAAGAUAUCUGGCAACAUGGUUCUACCAGAAGGCAGUGUUGUCCUGUGCUCCAUCCAAAGAUGGUGACUGCAUUGCCAUGAUCAUCCAUUAUGAUAGCAAUUGGCUCUCUUUUGCGAGGGCAGGAAAGACCAAGUGGCAAGUGGCCUCAACUUUAUCUAUAAAGGAACAUGAUCGAUAUGCAGACUGUGCAUACCACAAUGGGAGGUUCUACAGCGUGACAUACCUUGGAAUAGUAGAGAAAUAUCAUCUUGAUGGACCGAACGGCCCGACAAAGGAGGCGAUUAUCGCACAUAGAACAUUUUCAUGUGUUCUUACCAGGCACUUGGUGUCUACACCAUGGGGUGAUCUCUUGCAGGUCCAGGCCAUUUCUGCAAACCGUGUGGAUCGUGUUAGGUUUCUAAUUGGCAAGGUUCAUCCCGAAGGAUGCAAGAAGAUAUCACCCGACGACUUGAUGGACCAUGCGAUAUUUGUUGGACUGAAUCACUCGGCGUGCUUACCCUCAAAGAAAUUCCCUGGGUUAAGACCUCAAUGUAUCUAUUUCUCAGCUCCCUGGAUGACAGAAACAUUUGAUUUAGUUGGCCGUUGUCAUGGAUGGGGAAUUGUAAGGUCACAUGACAUGGAAACAAGGAUCUUUGAGAAUGCUUUUCCCGUUGAAGGGAUCCCUAAAGGUUGGAGGGUGCAUGUUCCUUCAGAGGUAUGGAUCACACCGAAUAUGUAA
rnacentral:rRNA from 1 species